CAUUAGGUGACUGAAAGUAAGUAUUGGUCUCUUAAACCAUUUUAUAAUAGAUUAACAACUAUUUCUAAUGA
rnacentral:tRNA from 1 species